rnacentral:rRNA from 1 species
AACGAACGCUGGCGGCAGGCCUAACACAUGCAAGUCGAACGCCCCGCAAGGGGAGUGGCAGACGGGUGAGUAACGCGUGGGAAUCUACCCAGUGGUACGGAACAACCAGGAGAAAUCUUGGCUAAUACCGUAUAAGUCCUUCGGGAGAAAGAUUUAUCGCCAUUGGAUGAGCCCGCGUCGGAUUAGGUAGUUGGUGAGGUAAUGGCUCACCAAGCCUACGAUCCGUAGCUGGUCUGAGAGGAUGAUCAGCCACAUUGGGACUGAGACACGGCCCAAACUCCUACGGGAGGCAGCAGUGGGGAAUAUUGGACAAUGGGCGAAAGCCUGAUCCAGCCAUGCCGCGUGAGUGAUGAAGGCCCUAGGGUUGUAAAGCUCUUUCGGCGGGGAAGAUAAUGACUGUACCCGCAGAAGAAGCCCCGGCUAACUUCGUGCCAGCCGCCGCCGUAAAAC